rnacentral:rRNA from 1 species
GAGAAUGCCGGUGUGAGUAGCGAAAGACGGGUGAGAAUCCCGUCCACCGAUUGACUAAGGUUUCCAGAGGAAGGCUCGUCCGCUCUGGGUUAGUCGGGUCCUAAGCUGAGGCCGACAGGCGUAGGCGAUGGAUAACAGGUUGAUAUUCCUGUACCACCUAUAAUCGUUUUAAUCGAUGGGGGGACGCAGUAGGAUAGGCGAAGCGUGCGAUUGGAUUGCACGUCUAAGCAGUAAGGCUGAGUAUUAGGCAAAUCCGGUACUCGUUAAGGCUGAGCUGUGAUGGGGAGAAGACAUUGUGUCUUCGAGUCGUUGAUUUCACACUGCCGAGAAAAGCCUCUAGAUAGAAAAUAGGUGCCCGUACCGCAAACCGACACAGGUAGUCAAGAUGAGAAUUCUAAGGUGAGCGAGCGAACUCUCGUUAAGGAACUCGGCAAAAUGACCCCGUAACUUCGGGAGAAGGGGUGCUCUUUAGGGUUAACGCCCAGAAGAGCCGCAGUGAAUAGGCCCAAGCGACUGUUUAUCAAAAACACAGGUCUCUGCUAAACCGUAAGGUGAUGUAUAGGGGCUGACGCCUGCCCGGUGCUGGAAGGUUAAGAGGAGUGGUUAGCUUCUGCGAAGCUACGAAUCGAAGCCCCAGUAAACGGCGGCCGUAACUAUAACGGUCCUAAGGUAGCGAAAUUCCUUGUCGGGUAAGUUCCGACCCGCACGAAAGGCGUAACGAUUUGGGCACUGUCUCAACGAGAGACUCGGUGAAAUCAUAGUACCUGUGAAGAUGCAGGUUACCCGCGACAGGACGGAAAGACCCCGUGGAGCUUUACUGUAGCCUGAUAUUGAAAUUCGGCACAGCUUGUACAGGAUAGGUAGGAGCCUUUGAAACGUGAGCGCUAGCUUACGUGGAGGCGCUGGUGGGAUACUACCCUAGCUG